rnacentral:rRNA from 1 species
UACGUAGGGGGGCUAGCGUUGUCCGGAAUCAUUGGGCGUAAAGCGCGCGUAGGCGGCCCGGUAAGUCCGCUGUGAAAGUCAAAGGCUCAACCUUUGAAUGUCAGCGGAUACUGCCGGGCUAGAGUCCGGAAGAGGCGAGUGGAAUUCCUGGUGUAGCGGUGAAAUGCGUAGAUAUCAGGAGGAACACCUGCGGUGUAGACGGCUUACUGGACGGUAACUGACGCUGAGGCACGAAAGCGUGGGUAGCAAACAGG